GAUGAACGCUGGCGGCGUGCCUAAUACAUGCAAGUCGAGCGAACAGACGAGGAGCUUGCUCCUCUGACGUUAGCGGCGGACGGGUGAGUAACACGUGGAUAACCUACCUAUAAGACUGGGAUAACUUCGGGAAACCGGAGCUAAUACCGGAUAAUAUAUUGAACCGCAUGGUUCAAUAGUGAAAGACGGUUUUGCUGUCACUUAUAGAUGGAUCCGCGCCGCAUUAGCUAGUUGGUAAGGUAACGGCUUACCAAGGCAACGAUGCGUAGCCGACCUGAGAGGGUGAUCGGCCACACUGGAACUGAGACACGGUCCAGACUCCUACGGGAGGCUGCAGUAGGGAAUCUUCCGCAAUGGGCGAAAACUUGACGGAGCAACGCCGCGUGAGUGAUGAAGGUCUUCGGAUCGUAAAACUCUGUUAUUAGGGAAGAACAAAUGUGUAAGUAACUAUGCACGUCUUGACGGUACCUAAUCAGAAAGCCACGGCUAACUACGUG
rnacentral:rRNA from 1 species